UGCACAGCAGCCAUCUUGGCAAGAUUGUCCAGACUGACACAGGUGAGGACCAAUGUUAGAACUAAUUAGGUGAACUUUACACCUGAGUCAUUGUCUUCUUCUGCGUUAUAGGUUGAUGCUACUGGAGUGACUGCAACGCUAGACUGAGCUGGGCACUGUGUUGAGAGCAAGCAGUUGGAAGAUUAAAGGUAGGUAGGCUUAUUGAUUGGUACACAGAUAGCAGUAAGGUGGCCAUUGAUUGGGCAAACAGCCAAUUUUUGACCUGGAGGUGCACUGUGUGAAUCAAUGGUCUUAAUCCAGUGGGAGAAGUGAAGAAUGAGAGCGCGGGUCCCAAAAUGUCCUCUAGUUUAUGGCCAUUUGACGGAUUCUUUUAUUGAAAAGGAAACGUGCUUCUGUGUUUUGCUGCAUUUUUUAACAUCUAUUCCUUUUAUUUCUAUAUUUUUUUUAGUUCAUAGCUUGGAAAUGAUUUUUAUUCGACUGCUGUUGCUGUACACACAUGCCCGGAUAAUCAAAUUCAUGUCCUCCCAUACUGUCUCGCAAACAUCCCCAGUGCAUACAUUGCCCCAUUAAGUCAAAUUCAUUCAUAGUGGCUCCUGCUCCAGAUGGAUUAUUUUGACCUUUAGAAACGACCGGUCAGUCAAUAUCACGGAAGAUAUAAUUCAUCUACUUUCAGAUUCAUUAGCAAUGGUAGGAUUGAAGGUCUUCAUGCAGUGCCCGUGUCAUAUUAAUACAUGACAAAAAAAAAAUACACAACCAAUUCGCUAAUUUGAUUUCAGAGCCUAAGAUACGCAUUACAUUUGAGUUAUGUGGACAGGGUAGUAUUUUUCCUCCCAAUUACAAGCAUCAUUGGACCUAAACAAAACUAAAAAUGACAAAUAGGUUAAUAAACAAUGUAAUCAAGAAAGUACUUCAUUUUUAUGUGCUAAGGUUUAGGGCUCGGUUUAAAUUAUAGUGUUCAUUUCCCUAAGUUCGUUUUUAUGAGGCAGUUUCAUGACCUAAAAUACAGGCUGGUCACCCUACCCUUAGUUUUUAAACAGAAGGACAGCAAUGCACAGAUUUGGAUUGGGAUUUUGCUGCAAAAUGUGUUUAAACUAUUCAGUUUUAAAUUAUGUAGUGGCGAAUCACAACAAAGGUUAUCUUAGUGUAGUUUAAUAAAAGAGCUGAUUGAGGCUUUUGUCAACUAAGAGGAAGCCUCAGACACACCCUAAAGUAACAGGCAGAAACCUCAAGUAGAACCAGACUCAUGUUAGACAGAUGUAGCUGGUUUAGAGAGGAGAUGGAAGGAGACGCUCAGGAAAUAGGAAGUGGGAAUAUUUCCCUUUGUAGAGGAGACAUCUUGAAGUUGAAGAUAGACAGUUUUUCACUUUUCACCUUUGGUUCACUAAAGUUUAAAAGCAUUGAAAAUAUUCUGAAUAUAGCGUACUUCAACUGGUAUUGAUUUUUUUUUUUUAAGUGACACUCUUGUAAUAGGUUUUUCUGCUGCCCUUGACCACACUGGCACUCUGCAGUUUAUCAGACUGCCUCUCUAAACUAGAGGUGUACCACAGCCAUCAAACAUAAUACUGCCUUUUGAGAAGAACUUCUUCAACACCUUUGUCAACAGAUCAGAAGUAUUUUUUAAGUUUUAAGUCAGUGUUUGGAAAAUAAAAAGUGCUGAAUUAAAUAGUUCAAAUAAAAGAAAUCUGCAUGCUUACUCUGAAGGGGCUUUAAUGGUAUUCCAUGCUAUUUUGUCCCUGUCUGCACACAGUAGUUUAGCAGCUGUAGUGUGUCCCUGCCUCCAGGUGUCACUAUAAGAAACUAUAAAAGAUGACAAGUCAAAAGUUAUUUGACACUAUUAAAUUACAGAACAAAAAGUUCCUCUGUUGUCCACAGAGGGCGCCAAAAACAGCACAAACAAAAAGUUCCUCACAGUAGAUUUACAGUAGGAGAAAAAUCUGUUAUUUUAUCUCCGCAGACCGACAAAACAGACUCUACAAAGACAACAACAACAACAACCUGGCUCACCCAACACGUAAAUCCCUCUCCACCGACUACCGAUUUCCUUGUACCUGUCAUGACCAACAGCUGCAGGGAAUUGAACCGGCGCCCAGGUUUGCUGACGGUAACAUGAGCGGAUGAGAGAUACCCCACCAAUUUAGGUCAGUGCUCAUCACAUUGUUGCAACUGUCUGAUUGAGACGGGUCAGCGCCCUCACCUUGUCUGGCAUGCCGCACAUAUACACAUUCCUGUACUGUACACAGGCACAAAGCCAGGAGACAAAGCCAGUAAUAGCAACGCAAUAUGACCACGCUUCAGCGCUCGCCACUAUAACCCUCCCCGCAGACUGGAACGCACAAAGAGCCAGUGAACUGUGGCGGGGUUUCUGGUUUAUAGUCGGUGAGUCAUUACAAGAGGAAAGGACAUGUGCGCACUUUGAUAUGUCACAAGGCUUUUAUUUAAUGAUGCUGUGGAGCAAAGGUUAGCAGGACUGCAGGGCAGCAGACAGAGAAGCACUCAGAGAGGAUAAUUAGGACGACAAAAGUUCAGGGUGAACCAGUGUUUGAUUACCACUGCCCUGCCGUUACGCUGGCUGAUGUUAUAGUCUCAAAGCUGCUCUCAUCAAUAGUUUUUUGUUUCUAUAAGUGUACAAUGUCCUUCUAGGGGAUAUUUUGUACAUUACAGGAAACUAGUUUCAACAAAUGUCAUCACUCAGGUUUCUGAAAGCCUCUGUGUUAUUGGAUUGCGAUGCAACAAAUCCUGCAAAGCAAUCUCAUGAAUGGUCCAAAGCAUUGACACAGCUAAUUUUAGUCAGUUGCUAGACCGUAUUAGCACAUGCUAUCAUAGGUUAUGUUCACACUGCAGGUCAAUUCCGAUUUUUUAACCAUAUGUGACACAUAUCUGAUUUUUUCAUCGAAGUGUGAACAGUGCAAUUCAGAUUUUUUCAAAUCCAACCCAGGCCUCUUCUGUAUGUGGAUAAAAAUCAGAUAUGUAUCUGAUAUGACCUAUAUGUCAUCAAUAUGCGACAAACGUCACCAUUGUUCGACAACACAAACAGGCGCAGAAAGCAAUUUGUGCUUUGUGCACAUCUGGGUCACUUCACGGAUGCAUUCGUUGUUGUAAUGUGAACGACUGCACAAAAAGAUCGGAUUUAACAAAAAAUCAGAAUUGUGCAUCAUAACCUGCAGUGUGAACGUAGCCAUAGUAAACAUAAAAUCAAGGCAAUCCUGUUGUUUGAAGCUUUGUUUUGUCUCUGAACACUUGCACCCACCCGACCUUUAUUUGGCCUACAUUACAAACGUAAAGUAAACUGUUAAGUCCCUGACCUUCAAGAGUCAAGUCUUAGCUCAUGUGGUCACUGUCUGUUUCUCAAAGGUGCUGCUCCCCUCG